rnacentral:rRNA from 1 species
UGGGGAUGACGUCAAAUCAUCAUGCCCCUUAUGAUUUGGGCUACACACGUGCUACAAUGGCGUAAACAAAGGGAGGCAAAGGAGCGAUCUGGAGCAAMCCCCAAAAAUAACGUCUCAGUUCGGAUUGUAGUCUGCAACUCGACUACAUGAAGCUGGAAUCGCUAGUAAUCGCGGAUCAGAAUGCCGCGGUGAAUACGUUCCCGGGUCUUGUACACACCGCCCGUCACACCAUGGGAGCUGGUAACGCCCGAAGUCAGUGACCCAACCGUAAGGAGGGAGCUGCCGAAGGCGGGACUGAUAACUGGGGUG